rnacentral:lncRNA from 1 species
CCAAUAAUAAUUUCACAAGAUGACAUAAAUCAAUGUAAUCAUAUGUGUUGGUGUUGUUUUGGUGUCAGACAUGAAACAUAUCCAUCAGGGACACGCCUAAUCCGAGGAGCAUUUGUGCUUCAUAGGUUGGAAUUAGAAAUAAUGGAAGGUUGUAAUGGGGUUCUGAUGAGGUACUUGAGCAAUUUUGAAUUGAUAGACUUAUAGUCUAUGUUACACUGAUAAUUUAGAUUGGACAUGCCGUUUGGUGUUGGACCUCAACACAACACUGAUGCAUGUGGUUACAUUCAAUCACUUGCAUCUUUUUUGAAUUAUUAGCGUUGUCUAUGACGUAUGUGUCAGUUCUAGUGUUGUGUCCAGUGACCCUGCAUCGUUGCUUAUAGCCUAUGAAGCAUGGAUACGGACACGGACACCGGACACGACACUGACACGCCGACACAGCUAAUAAUUUGAAAAAAUCACACAAUUCAGUGUAAUUACUAGUGUCGGUGUCGGUGUCGGACACGACACAUGUCGGUGCUUCAUAGCUUAUAGCUGAUCUUUGAGUGUUACUUUUGCUGGUUGAAUUCUUCGUUGUAAUUUUAUUGUUCUUAUCAAUCUCCAGUAGUGUCUGAUCUCAAAAACACUAGUGAAUUGUGAUACCAAGAGGCAGCUAUUUUGAAAUUUGUAUACAAUUUAUGUAAUUUAUACUAUGUGCAUAAAAAAUCAACUAGUUGUUGUUGCUGAUCGUGAGAAGGGUGAGAAAUGACAGGAAGAGUGAGACAGAGUGAGAGUGUAGAAGCCCCAACACUGUUUUGGUGUUUUUCAUUGCAAAAAUCCUAAAAUAUCUCAACCAAAACCCUAUAAUGUUUUAAAUCUUUAAGGCUUUUUUGGAAUUUUUUAUUUCAUUAUGAGUUUUGGCGCUAUCUAGCUUCAAAAACCCCGAUAUUGGUUGCUACACCAAACCAAACCGCUCUACUAUUGCGUGUCCUGUAGCGGUCAAUGGUCGCUCUGCUACACCACCAUAGUGUGCUAUUGACUGCACUGAUUGCACUAGUACUUCAAAAAAAAUGUUUUUCAGUAGUUAGCACUUAGCAUUGUUUUAGGCUAACAAGAGCUCACUAGUUUGUCAUCUGGAUCUUGUUUGAGCCAAAGCACUAUCAACCUAAUAUUCCAAAAUAAAAGAGGUCUCUUUCUGAUGUUAUUGAGCUGUUAUAUGAUUUUCUUAUUUAACCAUAUUUGUGAAGUUGUGAAUAUAUAAAAUGCAUGUGCCCAUUUUUGAGUUGGGGCUACCGCCAUAUUUGCUAUGAUGUCUUAUGGUUUUGGUAUAUUUCUUUUAGUUAAAACUGCACCAAAGAUCCUUUAACUUGAUUUAAAGUUUCAAACACAUCCUUUAUUUUUAUUUGUGUCAAACUAAUUUCAUAUCUUUAAAAACAUUUACGUCGGAACAACUUUAAUUCU